rnacentral:lncRNA from 1 species
UUCAUCGUCAUUUCCUGGACACUUGAAUAAAAUGAGAAUCACUUGACUCAAGGAAAAUGACAUUUAAUCACUGGCUAAUUAAGUCCCCUAACCCUCCCUCUGCUGUCUCCCCAUCUUGGGCCCUUUACCUUGUGCUCAUGGAAUCAAAGCUGGUCUCUGAGGUUUCCUUCCCAUCCAGAUGUAUUUUACUAGUUUAAUCAUUGUAUAAAUUGACAUUAUGAUCGUCCCUUGCCAAGUAUGAAGUGCCAAAGAAUAAACUUCAUUUUGGGGGGAUUG